UGGACCAUAUCUCAGCAUAGGAAUGUCCAAAUGAGGUGAUUCUUGCACCAUUGGAAAGAAAAUUCGAAGGGAUACAACUCUUAUGAAGACAUCAAUUGAUUUGAAAGGGAAA